rnacentral:rRNA from 1 species
ACGUAGGCAGCAAGCGUUGUUCGGAAUUACUGGGCGUAAAGGGCGUGUAGGCGGCGCGCUAAGUUUGGUGUGAAAUCCCUCGGCUUAACUGGGAGGGUGCAUUGAAAACUGGGUCGCUUGAGUAUGGGAGAGGAAAGCGGAAUUCCCGGUGUAGCGGUGAAAUGCGUAGAGAUCGGGAGGAACACCAGCGGCGUAGGCGGCUAUCUGGACUAGAACUGACGCUGAAGCGCGAAAGCGUGGGGAGCAAACAG